GUAGUCGUGGCCGAGGUGUUAAGGCGAUGUACUAGAAAUCCAUUGGGAUUUUCCCGCGUAGAAUCGACUCCUACCGACUACG